rnacentral:tRNA from 1 species
GCGGGCGUGCCGCCGCAACCGGCCUGUGCCUGGGGUGUGGCUCGGUCUGGCAGAGGUCACAGGUUCGAAUCCUGUCGGGUGCGCCA